rnacentral:rRNA from 1 species
UUAAGGGCGUAUGGAGGAUGCCUUGGCACAAAAAGGCGAUGAAGGACGCGGCAUGACUGCGAUAAGCGUCGGGGAGCCGUCUAGCGGGCUUUGAUCCGGCGGUGUCCGAAUGGGGCAACCCAUGGCGAGUAAUGUCGCCAUAUCUUUAUCCGUAAGAGAUAAAGGAGCAAACCCGGGGAAGUAAAACAUUUCAGUACCCGGAGGAAAAGAAAAAAAGAAUCAAUCUAUUAUUCAUGGGUCCGGAUAGUCGGGCUAAUGAAUAAUAUUUUGAUAAUAUUCCCCCAGUAGCGGCGAGCGAAAAGGGAGGAGUCCAAACCCAUCCGAUACUUUCGCAAGAAAGUAACGGGUGGGGGUUGUAAGGAAUAAUCGUUCUUGUAGCAAUACAAGAGGAAAGUCUAUAAACUUCCACCCUUCGGGUGGUCGCCCGCAGGGGCGAAAAAAUUGAUUAGUUGAACGGUUUUGGAAAAGCCGACCAAAGGGGGUAAUAGUCCCGUAAGCGAAAAUCUUUUUAAUACUUUCUGGUUAUUUUCUUGAGUACCGCGGGGAAAGACUGCCCCGCGGGAAGCCUGACCGAUAGUGAACUAGUACCGUGAGGGAAAGGUGAAAAGCAGCCCGGUGAGGGCGAUGAAAUAGAUCCUGAAACCAUACGCUUACAAAGAGCGGGAGCCCGCAAGGGUGACCGUGUGCCUAUUGAAGAAUGAGCCAACGACUUUAUAGGAACGGCUUGGGUAAACCUCGUUUGAGGCUAUAAGACCCGAAGCCAGGCGAGCUUACCAUGGUCAGGUUGAACCCCGCAGAAAUGCGGGGGGAGGACCGCACCCACUAGCCGUGCGACACUAGGGGAUGAACUGUGGUAAGAAGUGAAAAGCUAAUCGAGCCUGGGAAUAGCUGGUUCUCUCCGAAAUAGUUUUAGGACUAGCCCCGCGUGUUUUUUAUUGGAGGUAGAGCACUGGUUGGUAUUGAUUGGCGCAAGCUAGCAAGACCAGUCAAACUCCGAAUUCCAUUAAAAUAACUCGGGAGUCAGUAUUCGGGGGCAAAGCUCCGAAUACAAGAGAGCAAGAACUCGGACCAUCGUCUAAGGUCCCUAAAUUUUGGCUAAGUGUAGAAGGAAGUGAUGCGUCGAAGACAAAUAGGAGGUUGGCUUAGAGGUAGCCAUCCUUUAAAGAGUGUGUAACAACUCACUAUUAUAUUUCCCUUUGGGAGAUUGACGCAUCGCGCCGAAGAUAUAACGGGACUAAGCCAGAUACCGAAGACAUGGGUUUGCGAAUUUUAAUUCGCAAGCGGUAGGAGAGCGUUUUUAGCGCAGCGAAGAUUGACCCGCGAGGGCGAUUGGAGCGCUAAGAAGUGAAAAUGUUGGCAUGAGAGGUUUCCUUGGCAAUGAAAAUCAGCCAAGGGUUAGGCGGUCCUAAGGCAAUGGAGAAAUCCGCAGCCGAUGGACAGACGGUUAAUAUUCCGUCCCUAUCUCAAGCGCUUUUACGGAAUGACGAAGUUUAGUAUGCCGGGCGCCUUAUUGGAUUGGCGUUCUUUGCAUCAGAGUUUUUGGAAGGCAAAUCCUUCCAAAUGCGUUUAAUCGCAAACUUAAGUGUCGAGAAAAUUUUCCCGUUCGCGGGAAGAAAUUUGGCAAAGCAAGCUUCCAAGAAAACUUUCGUAAAUUAGCUUGAGGUAUCCGUACCGAAAACCGACACAGGUGGGCAGGGCGAGCAGCCCACAGCGAACGAGUGAUCCGUGGUUAAGGAACUCGGCAAAAAAGCGGCCGUAAGUUAGCGAUAUGGCCUGCCCCGCUUAGCGGGGCCGCAGCUAAAGAUUCCCUGGCGACUGUUUAUCAAAAACACAGCUCCCUGCUAACUCGCGAGAGGAUGUAUAGGGGGUGAUGCCUGACCUAUGCGAGAAGGUUAACGGCGGAUGUGGUAUUCCCAGCAAUGGAGAUAUUGCUGAUGCCCGAAGCCCUCGUAAAUGUCAGCGAUAACUAUAAUCGUUCUAAGGUCAUGCUUUUGUUGAUUUAUCAAGGAAGGCAUGAGGACUGGAACGAUUAUAAUAAUGAAAAAAAACGCUGCCUAUUCUAAUGAAAAUUAGAAUGUCUAAAAAUUUUCGGCUAUAUGCUGGAAAAUCUGUGGAUAAAAUCCUCAAGUAUCCGAAACUACUAUGGUAUAAUGCGUCCAUAUAAAUAUGGCGAAAAUAUCAAGUAAAAAAGUUAUCGGCGCAGAUAAUCAGCAGGAAAGGCUAAAAAUUGCUUGGUGGAUUUGCGGUUUUGUUGAUGGAGAAGGUUGUUUUUCGGUAAGUAUAAUCAAAAACAAAACUACCAAAUCGGGAAUUCAAAUUUUUCCAGAAUUUGUCGUAACGCAAGGAGCAAAAAGUUUGUUCGCGCUCAAAAAAAUUAAAAAUUUCUUUGAUUGCGGCAAUAUUUUUGUGAAUAAGCGUUAUGACAAUCACAACGAAAAUCUUUACAGAUAUUGUGUAAGAUCUUUGGAGGACUUAAAGACCAAGAUUAUUCCAUUUUUUAUGGAAAAUAAUCUGAAAACUUAUAAGCGAAAGGAUUUUUCAAUUUUUAAAGAUGUUGUGAGAAUAAUGCUUCAGAAAAAGCACCUAAAUGAUUCCGGUAGAAAUAAAAUUCUUUCUUCAAUCGGUAAAAUGAACAGAAGAAAAAAGCGAUUUUAGAAUCCUCACAGACCAUAUGCCGAACCCUGAGUUUAUCGAAGGGAAGAUAUGGUCGGGACUUUAUGGCGACAUAAAGAUUAACAAAAUCAAGCGUAAUUCACUGGGGAACUGUCUCAACCACGAGCUCGGUGAAAUUGCAAUUCCAGCGAAGAUGCUGGGUACCUGUAGCAAGACGAAAAGACCCCGGGAGCUUUACUGUAACUUAGUAUUGGCU